CAUCCCCAGCCCUGUAGCAGAAAACCUUCUGCCUUCUCCUUCUCCUCUGUCCUCAUCCCCAACAGAUCACAAAGAUCUUCUCCCCAAAACUUCCUUUCCAAGACUCAUCCUAUUAUUCCAGCCCCAACACCAGCAGGCAUUCCCUGUGAACACACCAGCCUAGUAAGCCAGGGAAACAGGUAAGCACACUGAAGACCUCCACCACCCCCUCUUCCCUUCCCAAUCCAAUCCCCCAGUCUCAUCCCUAUCUCUGUAACAAAGCCCAGCUGCAGUCUCCCUUGCAUGUCCCACCUCCCAGGCUACAUUUCCUCUGGAUCCAGCAGAGCAUCCCCUCCCAACUUCCCUUGCACCAUUCCUGGCUUUCCUCCAGCCCCUCCUCCAGCUGGUGCCCCUGCUGACUCACAGACCUCACAGGCCAGAAAACCAGGUCAACUGACUGCAGAUCUUCUCUUCUCCCUCUCUUCUCCCAGAUCCAAUCUCCAGUCUCAUCCUCAGCUCUGCAGCAGGAACAACUGCAGCAGCCUUCCCUGCACCCCAGUUCCCAUCUCCUGUGGAUCCCACAGAUCUUCCCUUUCUAACCUUCCUGCCUUAAACUUGUUGCCUUGUCCCAGCUCAUUCUUUGCUUAUGACUAAGACACACUCCCUUCCUACCAGGAGCGAUUCCAAGUAUUGUGGAAAGAUGGUUUCCAAGGUUGACUCCUUGCCAAACUGAGUUUCAGAAGAGUAAGUCUGAUUAGGGAAGGAAGCAUGCGCACACAUGAAUAGGGGUUAUUGCUCAACCUGCAUUCACGCCCUGGUGGAAAUGGACUUUCAGUUUCAGUAGCUCCGGAUGGUAGGAGAGAAGCACCAUGGCUGACAACAUCCUCAAGGCAAAGAGGAAGCAGUUCAUCCGUUCAGUGGGUCCAGAGACAAUAAAUGGCUUGCUGGAUGAACUUUUGGAGAAGAAAGUGCUGAACCAGGGAGAGAUGGAGAGAAUAAAAGCUGUAAAUGCCACUGUUAUGGACAAGGCACGGGACCUGUGUGAUUCUGUCAUUAAAAAGGGACCUCUGGCAUGCCAAAUCUUUAUCACUUACAUUUGUAAUGAAGACGUCUACCUGGCAGGAGUUCUGGAACUCUCCUAGAGUAAGAACGAAACUCCCAGGAAAAUUUAUUUAUUUAUUUUGCCAAUGUUAACUUUUUUAUUUUCUUAUGUGCUAGUUAAUCUUGACUGUCAAUUUGACCCGUAUAGAUUAUCUGGGAAGAAAGUCUUAGUGAAAUAUUAUCUAGUAUCCAGUUGGCUAUGGAGGACUUUCAAAUUUGUUCAUUGAUAUAGCCAUGCAGUUCACUGUGGGUGGUGCCAUUCCAUAGGCAGUGUAAAAGAGGGUACAGUACUGAAGACAAGCAGGCAAGAAAGUAUCCCUGUGCUUAUUCUCGGUUCUUGACAUUCCUUCAGUAAUAGACUGAAAACUGAGGUGUAUGCUAAAAAAUACCUUUUCCACUCAGUUGAUCUUCGGCAAGUUGUUUUGUCACUGCAUCUGGAAUUAAACUAUAACAGGAAUCAGCUGGUAAUGAGGGUGAGAUUCUUGCUGUGCUCACCCUAAGCAUGUAAGGGAAGGAAUAUGGAGACUUUGGAAUUUUGGCCUGGAUAAGCCAUUGAGUGCAUGGGCAAAGCUUAACAGGCCAUUACAGUGGACAUUUGGAAGAGGAGAAUCUUGAGAGGAAUGUAAACUCUGAAGGCCUAGUUAAUGAGGUUUCAGAGAGAAUGUGCAUCAGCCAUUCAUGUGAGCCUGUGAUAUUAUUAUUAAGGUCAAGAAUCUGUGUCUGCUCUUCAGACUUCAUAUAAAAAACUCAGCUGGGAUUGGUUUCAGUCAGCAUCACUGAGCUGAACCCUUCUGCAAUUCAUUUGAGAUAAUAGAAAAGUAGUUUCUUGGAUCAGCAGAGAAGCUCAUGCAAUUGUGAUGCAAGGGAGCCAGGCUACUUCUCAAAUUCGGAGCAUAUCUUGGUAAUAUAAGUCAUUCACAGAACUGAGUUUGAAGUCAUGAAGGGUUUGUGGCAAGCCAAGAGUACCUGUGGAGAGACAAUGAAGGCCAUUCACAAAAAUGAAGCAUCAAUUGCAAUGGCGAUGAUAAUGGCAAUUGCAAGACAGUGGACAUCCAUCAAGGAGAGCAUCCGGUGUGUAAUAGCAUAGGCCUAAGAGGGAUGCCAUGGGUAUUAUGGGUGCCAAAGCUGAAGGGGUGCUGUUGUGUUGAUUGACACUCCUCCUGGUGAAAGAUAAACAAAUAUCUGCUCAUGCUACAUGGAGAAAUGAGGAUAGAGAAAAGUAAGGGCACAUCAAAUCUCACCUUGCUGAAACGAGGAGUAAUUAAUCAGGGUCAUCUAUAGGACUUGAGAGUGAAGAUGAGAUCUGAUGGACUUCAGUCAUACAGAGCUUCUUUAGGAGUAUGAGUUCUUCUCAGAUGUAAAAAAAACCUUGCACUGAACCAUAUCAUCAUUGGUUCUCUGUUUCAAAUAAAUUUCCGUUUUUUGUUUUUUUUUUUAAAUCAUUUUUUCUUAUGUUUCACAUUACCACUCUAACCGAGAUGAACCAACAUCAUUGAAGGCUUUGGGAGACUGACAAAUUGUUAGUCUUCCAAAUUCUCUUUGCUUCUUGUUCAGAGUUUCAUUAUAAUCCUUAAGAUAUAUCAACUGUUCACUAUGAUAAUUUCAGGCAGUAUGAGCUACAGCCAUGGAAACCAAAUGAAGUCUUCAUUCUGAAAUUUCAGUAACAUUGCAUCCUUGUAAGAUACACACAUACACACAUGCACACACAAAAACACUCUGAUAUUUCAGAUCUGGGUCUAUAGUAAAUAUUUAUUAAAAGUUCACAAGUCAGCCGGGCAUCAGUGGUGCAUGCCUUUAAUCUCAGCACUUGGGAGGCAGAGCCAGGCUGAUCUCUGUGAGUUCGAGGUCAGCCUGGUCUACAAAGUGAGAUGCAGGACAGAUACCAAAACCACAUAGAGAAACCCUGUCUCGAAAAACCAAAAUAAAUAAAUAAAUAAAGUUCACAAAUUUCCUUUACUUUGAAUGCAAUAGAGUAGAUCUGAGGAUGCUUUUGUUAGAAGCAGACCUUCUUCAAAACAUGUGUUUCAAGACGUACUGAUACUGUCUUUCAAUUCCAAUAUGAAGGUGUGGCUGAUGUUGCUUGCUCUCUGGGGAAUAAAGAUGGGCACAGCCAGUACAGUAUAGUGACUUAUCAAGGCUCUGAAUCUUUCUCUGGAGAAAAUUGGCCAUCAUUCUUAGGCUAACUUCUGCUUGCAUACAUAGUGAUAUAUAUCAAGUAUAAUCUUCUAGAAGGUACAGGGCAGGUUCUGAUUCAUUAACUCCUGUCAAUUUCUAAAAUUUCAAGCAUGGAGUAUAGUACAGGAUGGGUGCCAGGAAUGAAAACCAAUACAUUUACUGGAAUAUUAAGCUAGUGCACUUUUGAUGAGCUCUUUAUGAAGCUGAAAUAAAAUCCAAUGUGU